rnacentral:rRNA from 1 species
GAUGAACGCUAGCUACAGGCUUAACACAUGCAAGUCGAGGGGUAACGAGAGGAAAGCUUGCUUUCCUUGUCGACGACCGGCGCACGGGUGAGUAACGCGUAUCCAACCUGCCCCCAACUAGGGAAUAACCUUGCGAAAGUAAGACUAAUACCCUAUAAUUUCCUCAGAUGCCAUCUGACGAGGAAUAAAGAUUUAUCGGUUGUGGAUGGGGAUGCGUCUGAUUAGCUUGUUGGCGGGGUAACGGCCCACCAAGGCAACGAUCAGUAGGGGUUCUGGGAGGAAGGUCGCCAAACUUGGAACUGAGACACGGUCCAAACUCCUACGGGAGGCAGCAGUGAGGAAUAUUGGUCAAUGGGCGGAAGCCUGAACCAGCCAAGUAGCGUGCAGGAUGACGGCCCUAUGGGUUGUAAACUGCUUUUAUACAGGAAUAAAGUUAGCCACGUGUGGUUAUUUGUAGGUACUGUAUGAAUAAGGACCGGCUAAUUCCGUGCCAGCAGCCGCCGUAA